rnacentral:rRNA from 1 species
UACGUAGGGGGCUAGCGUUGUCCGGAAUCAUUGGGCGUAAAGAGCGCGUAGGCGGCCAGAUAAGUCCGGCGUGAAAGUCACAGGCUCAACCUGUGAAUGCCGCUGGAAACUGUCUGGCUAGAGUCCGGAAGGGGCGAGUGGAAUUCCUGGUGUAGCGGUGAAAUGCGCAGAUAUCUGGAGGAAUACCGGUGGCGAAGGCGGCAUCCUGGACCGACAUUGACGCUGAGGAGCGAAAGCUAGGGGAGCAAACGGG